AUUGAACGCUGGCGGCAGGCCUAACACAUGCAAGUCGAGCGAGCGGCGGACGGGUGAGUAAUGUCUGGGAAACUGCCUGAUGGAGGGGGCUAACUACUGGAAACGGUAGCUAAUACCGCAUACCAUAAGAUGUGGCCAAAUGGGAUUAGCUAGUAGGUGGGGUAACGGCUCACCUAGGCGACGAUCCCUAGCUGGUCUGAGAGGUUGACCAACCACACGUGAAGGGAGACACGGUCCAGAAUCCGACGGGAGGCAGCAGUGGGGAAUAGUGCACAAUGGGCGCAAGCCUGAUGCAGCCAAGCCGCGUGUGUGAAGAAGGCAUUCGGGUUGUAAAGCACUUUCAGCGGGGAGGCGUUACCCGCAGAGGAAGCACCGGCUAACUCCGUGCCAGCCGCCGCGGUAAUUC
rnacentral:rRNA from 1 species